rnacentral:tRNA from 1 species
GCCCCGGUCGUCUAGCCCGGCCAAGCACGGGUAUGCGUCGAGAGGAUGGCGGCCUUUCGAGCCGCAGAUCCCGGGUUCGAAUCCCGGCCGGGGCACCA